GUUUCCGUAGGUGAACCUGCGGAAGGAUCAUUAAAGAGUAAGGGUGCUCAGCGCCCGACCUCCAACCCUUUGUUGUUAAAACUACCUUGUUGCUUUGGCGGGACCGCUCGGUCUCGAGCCGCUGGGGAUUCGUCCCAGGCGAGCGCCCGCCAGAGUUAAACCAAACUCUUGUUAUUUAACCGGUCGUCUGAGUUAAAAUUUUGAAUAAAUCAAAACUUUCAACAACGGAUCUCUUGGUUCUCGCAUCGAUGAAGAACGCAGCGAAAUGCGAUAAGUAAUGUGAAUUGCAGAAUUCAGUGAAUCAUCGAAUCUUUGAACGCACACUGCGCCCCUUGGUAUUCCGAGGGGCAUGCCUGUUCGAGCGUCAUUACACCACUCAAGCUAUGCUUGGUAUUGGGCGUCGUCCUUAGUUGGGCGCGCCUUAAAGACCUCGGCGAGGCCACUCCGGCUUUAGGCGUAGUAGAAUUUAUUCGAACGUCUGUCAAAGGAGAGGAACUCUGCCGACUGAAACCUUUAUUUUUCUAGGUUGACCUCGGAUCAGGUAGGGAUACCCGCUGACUA
rnacentral:rRNA from 1 species